CACGUAGGCACCAAGCGUUGUCCGGAUUUAUUGGGCGUAAAGAGCUCGUAGGCGGCUUGGUAAGUCAGGUGUGAAACCUCCAGGCUCAACCUGGAGACGCCACUUGAUACUGCCAUAGCUAGAGUCCGGCAGAGGGGGAUGGAAUUCCGCGGUGUAGCAGUGAAAUGCGUAGAUAUCGAGAGGAACACCAGUGGCGAAGGCGAGUCUCUGGACGACACCUGACACUGAGGCACGAAAGCCAGGGGAGCAAACAGG
rnacentral:rRNA from 1 species